CAGCAGGGCCUCUGCUGUGGGCGGGCAGCCUGCAGGAGCCACAGCCAGGGGGCAGAGGUCACAGCAGAGCCAACACAUACCAUCUCACAGCCAGGGGUCAGAGGUCACAGCAGAGCCAAAUCACAUCAGCUCACAGUGAGGGGUCAAAGGUCACAACAGAGCCAAACCACAUUGGCUCACAGUGAGGGGUCAAAGGUCAGAGGUCAGAGCAGAGCUAAAGCACAUUGGCUCACAGUGAGGGGUCAAAGGUCACGGAGAGCCAAA